rnacentral:rRNA from 1 species
UCUAGCGAGGACUGCCGGUAAUAAACCGGGGAAGUGGGGAUGACGUCAAUCAUCAUGCCCUUAUGACCUGGGCUACACACGUGCUACGAAUGGUUGGUACAACGAGUUGCGAGUCGGUGACGGCGAGCUAAUCUCUUAAAGCCAAUCUCAGUUCGGAUUGUAGGCUGCAACUCGCCUACAUGAAGUCGGAAUCGCUAGUAAUCGCGGAUCAGCACGCCGCGGUGAAUACGUUCCCGGGCCUU